rnacentral:rRNA from 1 species
GACAGAGGGCGCAAGCGUUAAUCGGAAUUACUGGGCGUAAAGGGCGCGUAGGCGGAUAGAUAAGUGAGAUGUGAAAGACCCGAGCUUAACUUGGGGGCGAGGUCUCAGACUGUGUAUCUAGAGUUUAGGAGAGGGGAGUGGAAUUUCCGGAGUAGCGGUGAAAUGCGUAGAGAUCGGAAGGAACAUUCGAGGCGAAGGCGGCUCUCUGGCCAUAGACUGACGCUGAGGCGCGAAAGCGUGGGGAGCGAACAGG